GGGAUAUUAGUUUAAUUGGUAGAACGUGGUGCUACGGACAUCUCAAUUGUGGUUCAAAUCCACAAUAUCCUU
rnacentral:tRNA from 1 species